rnacentral:rRNA from 1 species
ACGGGGGGACUCCUACGGGAGGCAGCAGUGGGGAAUAUUGGACAAUGGGGGCAACCCUGAUCCAGCCAUGCCGCGUGAGUGAAGAAGGCCUUAGGGUUGUAAAGCUCUUUCAUCCGCGAGGAUAAUGACGUUAGCGGAAGAAGAAGCCCCGGCCAACUUCGUGCCAGCAGCCGCGGUAAU